GAGGAGCUGUCCGAGGAGCUGUCCUCACAGAGAUGUGAGGAGCUGUCCGAGGAGCUGUCCUCACAUAUGUGAGGAGCUGUCCUCACAAACUCCAUUACAAGAUGGCACCGGCAUCCGGCAGAACGCACCUAGUAAAAAGGGCAAUACGCAGGCGCCUGGUAACGUCCCUACUCAAAGGGACACGUACGUUUUGGUACGUCAUCUGGCAUAAUUGGCGGCGACCAGUCAGAGAGUGACACGUCCUAGGCGAGGAUAGUUUCCUAUAUAAGGGACGGUUAUUCCUCACUCUCAGUCUCCGCAUUGUAAGCUUAUGCUCUCCCUCUCAAGACGCAUUAAAGCUUUUCUGUAGUAGGAUCCUGUGUGUGCCGCGUAGUUCCUGCUGGCGAGACGUAGCGUGGGACAUCUGGUGCCGAAAACCCGGGAAAGACCUCGCCAUCGUCAGCACCUUCGGAGAUCCCUUGGCGACAAGGAGGAUUCAGAACUGCAGGACAAUGAAAAUCCCAUAUGGAUCCCAGGACGACUUACUGGGAGCAUCACAGCAAGUGAUCAAGAAGGGACUGGGACUCCUGCACCUCCUCACUCUUCUUCCAUGGAUGCCAGCAACGGUGCAGGGCGAGCUACGAUGGGGAAUAAUGUCAACCUUUCCACUCCUGAUGCCGGUGAUGUACCACUAACAGGGAUUUAGGGUUGGCCUAUUUACCUAAGGAUCCACAGGUUGAACGACUAAAAGAAAAUAGGACUAUUCCCCUUAAGGGCAGCCUUUGUUUUGGCAUAUUCAACAAAACAUCUUUUGAUCUCCCUUGCAUUAUGUUAUGUAAUCAAUCUUCUGCUUGGUUAAGGGAGGCCACAUGGGGAACUGGUGAGGAGGACAUUGUGGCUAACGCCACAGUUCUCUAUGGUGGUGGCCUUACAUUGCGUUAAUGGUAGGUGCACUGAUCUUACGCCCAUGGCGAUGCUACUUGGAGGAAAGGGCGAAAAGGGACGGUUGUCAUUUUCCUGGACGGGGAACAUCAAACCUGCUGCCUCUGUCUGGACAGCUACUCAUAUAAAAUAUCACAGUAGUUACCCGCAUGCCUCGCUUUAUCCCGAUCCCUGUUGAUGCCCCGGGGACCAUGACCUUAUUUAGAGGAAAAAGAGAUUUUGGUACUUCUGCAAAUAUUGCUGGCAUUAUUGCUACGACAGCAGUCGCUGCCUCGGUUACUGCCUCGGCAUUGGCCUUGUCAAAUUCAGUACAGACAACCCAAACUAUCAAUGAUUUAUCGGCCACCAUCUCUGUGGCUCGGGACAGACAGGCCUCAGCCAAUACUCAGAUAUAGGGAGGCCUUAUGCUUGUCAACCAACGUAUAGAUCUGGUCCGAGAGCAAUUAGACAUUCUAUGGCAACUGUCCCAGCUUGGCUGUGAGCAAAAACUCCCAGGCCUUUGUGUCACCUCCAUAUAAUAUGACAAAUUUACCUGAGCUGCUAAUCUGUCUAAGAGUCUUUCACAGCAUCUGUUACAGAAUUGGACCUCGGAGUUUGAACAGACACUUCAGGAGCUGAGAGCGACCAUCAUUCAAGUAAAUUCUACCCGACUGGACCUGUCUUGACGGAGGGAUUGUCGUCCUGGAUCACCUCAGCAGUCUCUUAUUUCAAGGAAUGGGUGGGAGUGGGACCUUUUGGAGUGAUCCUCUGCUGUGGAUUAGUGUUACUCCUCUGGUUGCUUUGCAAAUUGAGAUCUCAAACAAGAAAGGACAAAGUAGUGAUCGCCCAGGCGCUUGUAGCCCUUGAACAAGGAGCGUCAGCCGAUAACUGGUUGACCAUGCUCAAGCAACAGGUCACCGGCUGGACAGCUCUUGCACUCCUAGAACCUCGGUUCAUUGCACAGGAUUAGAGUGUCCGGCUUGAGCAGCCCAUGAGGGGUGACGAGCUUAGCAUCGCACAGGGAAGUUCUACCUAAUACGCUCCCUGGAAGGUAUGUCAUAUUACAUGAGGGUUUCUGCCCCAGUUUUCCCUCCCUCGAAAAAUGGCAGUGCGACGGGUCGGGAGUGCCCUGGGUCCCAACAACAGCCUAAGGGUAUCUCUCUUGUACAGGUUCGCCAACUUUGUACGAGGAUAUGACCUCUGUCUUCACCCUCCUAUAUCUGGGUGUCCUGUUUGCUUAAAAAAAAAAAAAACAGAAAAGGGGGAGAUGUGAGGAGCUGUCCGAGGAGCUGUCCUCACAGAGAUGUGAGGAGCUGUCCGAGGAGCUGUCCUCACAUAUGUGAGGAGCUGUCCUCACAAACUCCAUUACAAGAUGGCACCGGCAUCCGGCAGAACGCACCUAGUAAAAAGGGCAAUACGCAGGCGCCUGGUAACGUCCCUACUCAAAGGGACACGUACGUUUUGGUACGUCAUCUGGCAUAAUUGGCGGCGACCAGUCAGAGAGUGACACGUCCUAGGCGAGGAUAGUUUCCUAUAUAAGGGACAGUUAUUCCUCACUCUCAGUCUCCGCAUUGUAAGCUUAUGCUCUCCCUCUCAAGACGCAUUAAAGCUUUUCUGUAGUAGGA